rnacentral:lncRNA from 1 species
GCGAUAAAUAGAAAUCUAAUGUUCAGGUAAUCUCACCAUCCCUUCCACCCUAAUCUCUCAUGCAAUACAAGCACAAAGAUGGAGCCAUCCCUGGGACUUUGGAGCACAAAUGGUCAAAGAUAUGGGAGCAUCUUUCCUUUCAUUAGCCCAAGAUAUUGUUGUUAUUUGUUAUUGGCUUCAUGCCACUUUAAGGGUGCACAAGAGAUUAAAUUAAUUAACGCAGUGAGAAGUAAGGAUCAUCUAUAUAUAUAAUAUGACUAGUGCAUCAAAUUCCCAAUGAUUGUAAUCAACAAGAUCAAGAAUAAAAUCGGUAGAUUAUAACAAAUUAAAGUAAAAUUAUAAAUAAUUGUGUGAUAGAGAUUGUGAUCCACAUUCAGUUGUCCAGCCCCUUUUGCCAUCCCCUGGCGCAUCUUAUCUUUGUCUAGGUCGAUCUCCACAAUUGCAGCUGGCAGGUAUCGACCCUUAAUGAAAGUUUAGUUGGUAUAUUAAUUAGAGUCAUUUCAUAGUUAUUUUAAUGACAAAAGAGCUCCCAAGAACAACUUUAGAAGCAUUUUUUAAACUAAUCAUAAUGCCUGGGUAACUUUUAUGCCUUCAAUUAUUUUUCUUUUGCAUUU